CAGAACAAUAUCUGGUUUGAGCGAGGAGAUAUCAAAUAAGAGCACUUAGGCUACAUUGACAUCGCUACGUUUUGGAUUAAAAACGAAUAUUCUUCUGCUACGUUUCCCCCUCUCAUUCCUCCUGCUCUGGCGUUUCCCCCUCUCAUUCCCCCUGCUCUGGCGUUUUCCCCCUCUCAUUCCUCCUGCUCUGGCGUUU